GCCUCGGGGUAUGGAAUAACUCAGGGAAACUUGAGCUAAUACCAUAUAAUGUCUUCGGACCAAAGAUUUAUCGCCCUGAGAUAAGCCCGCGUAGGAUUAGCUAGUUGGUGGGGUAAAGGCUCACCAAGGCGACGAUCCUUAGCUGGGUCUGAGAGGAUGAUCAGCCACACUGGGACUGAGACACGGCCCAGACUCCUACGGGAGGCAGCAGUGGGGAAUAUUGGACAAUGGGCGAAAGCCUGAUCCAGCAAUGCCGCGUGAGUGAUGAAGGCCUUCGGGUUGUAAAGCUCUUUUACUCGGGACGAUAAUGACGGUACCGAGAGAAUAAGCCCCGGCUAACUCCGUG
rnacentral:rRNA from 1 species